ensembl:lncRNA
ACCUAUGAGAGCAAGUAAAAAAAGCUCUGAGGUGAGAUAAGCUUGUCAUUUUCAAGGACGAACAAGAAGGCUGGAAUGGCUGAGUCAGCAAAGUUGCCUGACAGGGAAAAAUCUCAGAAAGCUUGUCAAAACACAGUUGAUGAGGAGCCCAGAAGAUCAUGGUGUGAUGAUGAGUAUUAAGUGUAACAGAAUUUAGAGACAGCAGGGGCUGGUCCCAGUCUAGACUGACAUCUCUGAUGUGAUCAUGCACAGAGGCAAACAGACUACGGCCAACACAAAUGCCAUGUGGCCACAGCUGGCCUUCUGGGCUCACCCUUGGCCCAGCUGAGCCAGUCAGAGAGGGUCUCAGUUUCUGCUGAUGCCAAAACCUGAGUACAUUCAGGAGUGAUGCAUAGUAGUGUUCUGCUCCGUGGGCCGGAGAUUCAGGAACACAGGGGCUGCAGUAGACAGAAUCAGAGACAAGGGAUCCACGGAGACCCAACAGCACAUCCGUCCCUCAUUCCCAGCCCUCCUAAGGCCCUGCUGCCUCUUGUCCUUCCUUCUGAGACUGUAUCCUUAUAGUAAAUUCACCUUCAGCUUGGGCCAGUUCCACCUGAUUUCUGUUCCUUAAGGCCAGAGAAUCUUAGCCUAAAGAAAGCUUACAGUACAACAGUCUCCUCCUUGCCUUAGAUGCAUUAUUAGAGGCUGUGGAGGGCUGAGUUGCUGAGUGUGGCCAGUUAUGGUUCCCAGCAGGUAUUAUGAGGAUCUCUUCUCAAACCCAUAUUCAGUGAUACCACAUCAACCUUGAUGGGAGUAGUUACACCACAAGAACUGGCAAAUGUUAUGAAACAGGACUUUUCGUUUCCAGAGCACUAGUUGCUAAACAUUUCCCAGUACACCUUUCUAGAGGUACAGACCAAUGGGCUGUAGAGUCUGAAUUCACAUGCCAGCACCGCCACUUCCUGCCUUAGCCAGGCUCCAUGUUUGGGGGAAGAAGCACAGGACUGCUUAUGGCCUCACCCUUGAGGAGUAUGAGGAGUAUCUCAUCAGUACUGUCCUCCGUCCUCUCCAGCCUUGACCGAAAGAUAAGCAUCUUGAUGAUCUUGAGCAUCGACCUCCCUCUCCUUAGUGUGCACCCCAAUCCCAAACCUCCAUCUACCUUACUUCCUGCCAUACUCUUUGCACUGGCCUUGUACACUGACUGCUUAUGAGGAAGCCCUGUGGUGGUCUCCUGCUGUUGGGCCCCACCUCAGUUUAAAGGGUGCUACUCAUCCACCAAGAAUCAACUACAUUUUCUACACAGUCCCUGGGGUGGGCUGUCCAUGCCACAUACUGUGCAAAGGAGUUCCCA